rnacentral:misc_RNA from 1 species
GUGGUGUUUGGAUCGUCCCUGCCGGCUAGCGCCGUGCCCGUCCACCGAACGGCCGGCAGGCGAUCCGCGUCGGUCUCGCGAGGUGGUUUAUGUAUGGUUGCCCAGAGGCUGGUUCUUGUGUUGCCUACCCCUCCGUGGGAAGCGCAGGCCACUUGAUGUAAGCCUCCAUCCGGCGCCUUCCAGUGGGCGCCGAAGGACAGCGGAGCACCCCCUGCGUUCCAUCGAGCCCUCGUCGGUCGCGUGGCCCGUGGGGACGUGCGAUGCUCUCGGACCCAGCGCACGCUGUGGAUGAGGACUCACAUCCCAGUCCCAAGAGAAGCUCCUAUGCAAUGUUGAUGGCCGCUCCCGCCCCCCGACCGCCCCGGCGGCGCGGUGUCGCGGAGGAAUGCUAUCU